rnacentral:rRNA from 1 species
AUUGAACGCUGGCGGCAGGCCUAACACAUGCAAGUCGAACGAGUGGCGGACGGGUGAGUAAUGUCUGGGAAACUGCCUGAUGGGGGGGGAUAACUACUGGAAACGGUAGCUAAUAACGCAUACCAUCAGAUGUGCCCAGAUGGGAUUAGCUUGUUGGUGGGGUAACGCCUCACCAGGGCGACGAGCCCUAGCUGGUCUGAGAGGAUGACCAGCCACACGGGAACGGAGACACGGUCCAGACUCCUACGGGAGGACGCAGUGGGGAAUAUUGCACAAUGGGCGCAAGCCUGAUGCAGCCCUGCCGCUUGGAUGAAGAAGGCCUUCGUGUUGUAAAGUACUUUCAGCGGGGAGGCGUUACCCGCAGAAGAAGCACCGGCUAACUCCGUGCCAGCCGCCGCGGUAAUUC